rnacentral:tRNA from 1 species
GCCUAGGUGGCUCAGUCGAUUAAGCAUCUGACUUUGGUUCAGGUCAUGAUCUCGUGGUUUGUGGGUUCGAGUCCUGUGUUGGGCU